rnacentral:rRNA from 1 species
UUGCACGCUGGCGGCAGGCCUAACACAUGCCAGUCGAGCGGAUGAAGGGAGCUUGCUCCUGGAUUCAGCGGCGGACGGGUGAGUAAUGCCUAGGAAUCUGCCGGGUAGUGGGGGAUAACGUCCGGAAACGGGCGCUAAUACCGCAUACGUCCUGAGGGAGAAAGUGGGGGAUCUUCGGACCUCACGCUAUCAGAUGAGCCUAGGUCGGAUUAGCUAGUUGGUGGGGUAAAGGCCUACCAAGGCGACGAUCCGUAACUGGUCUGAGAGGAUGAUCAGUCACACUGGAACUGAGACACGGUCCAGACUCCUACGGGAGGCAGCAGUGGGGAAUAUUGGACAAUGGGCGAAAGCCUGAUCCAGCCAUGCCGCGUGUGUGAAGAAGGUCUUCGGAUUGUAAAGCACUUUAAGUUGGGAGGAAGGGCAGUAAGUUAAUACCUUGCUGUUUUGACGUUACCAACAGAAUAAGCACCGGCUAACUUCGUG